rnacentral:rRNA from 1 species
AGGACGAACGCUGGCGGCGUGCUUAACACAUGCAAGUCGAGCGGUAAGGCCUCUUCGGGGGUACACGAGCGGCGAACGGGUGAGUAACACGUGAGUAAUCUGCCCUUCACUUCGGGAUAAGCUUCGGAAACGGGGUCUAAUACCGGAUACGACACUUUCAGGCAUCUGAUGAGUGUGGAAAGUUUUUUCGGUGGGGGAUGUGCUCGCGGCCUAUCAGCUUGUUGGUGGGGUAAUGGCCUACCAAGGCUUCGACGGGUAGCCGGCCUGAGAGGGUGACCGGCCACACUGGGACUGAGACACGGCCCAGACUCCUACGGGAGGCANCANUGGGGAAUAUUGGACA